rnacentral:rRNA from 1 species
AGAGUUUGAUCCUGGCUCAGAACUAACGCUGGCGGCGUGCCUAACACAUGCAAGUCGUACGAGAAAGUCCGCUUCGGUGGAUCAGUAAAGUGGCGCACGGGUGAGUAACGCGUGGAUAAUCUACCCCUCAGUUGGGAAUAACGUACCGAAAGGUGCGCUAAUACCGAAUGACACUGCACAUCUUCUGUUGUGUAGUCAAAGAUGGCCUCUGCUUGCAAGCUUUCGCUGAAGGAUGAGUCCGCGUACCAUUAGCUAGUUGGUAGGGUAAUGGCCUACCAAGGCAACGAUGGUUAGCUGGUCUGAGAGGAUGAUCAGCCACACUGGAACUGAGACACGGUCCAGACUCCUACGGGAGGCAGCAGUGAGGAAUAUUGCGCAAUGGGGGCAACCCUGACGCAGCAACGCCGCGUGAGUGAGGAAGGUUUUCGGACCGUAAAGCUCAGUCGAGCGGGAAGAAAUGCAUGGUGGCUAAUAUCCAUCAUGCUUGACGGUACCGCUAAAGGAAGCACCGGCUAACUCCGUGCCAGCAGCCGCGGUAAUACGGGGGGUGCUAGCGUUGUUCGGAAUCAUUGGGCGUAAAGAGCGUGUAGGCGGCUGGAUAAGUCAGAUGUGAAAGCCCUGGGCUUAACCCAGGAAGUGCAUUUGAAACUGUUCAGCUAGAGUAAGGGAGAGGAAAGUGGAAUUCCUGGUGUAGAGGUGAAAUUCGUAGAUAUCAGGAGGAACACCGGUGGCGAAGGCGACUUUCUGGCCCUAUACUGACGCUGAGACGCGAGAGCGUGGGUAGCAAACAGGAUUAGAUA